UGUGUUGAAAGGGCAAUAUGAUAGAAAUUCAGAAUCUGACAUUUAUUUUUCUUGGCUUUAUGAAAGUCAAACCUGAUGUAUUUCUAUUGAUAGUUUU
ensembl:snoRNA